CCUAACUUUUGAGUGGAAAACGAACCAGGAAUCUGAGAUAACUGGAUAGUCUCCGCAUAUUUUUAAAAAAUCAGCAUGUUUCCUGAAACUGCUCAGACUUAGCUGAUUUUCGUUGUUGUUGUUCUCUUUGUAAGUUUUUUUUUCUUCUUUUUUCUCUGUGUUCCAGCCUCCUGGAAUUUAAUCUAUUGGGUGGGAGUAAAUGACAUAAACUGUACUCAUAUUUGCAAAAAACCCAAAAAAGAUGUUAAGGCUAUUAACAACAGACUUCUGCACUACAGUUGAAAUGGGCUAGGUGAAUUGGGACAGAAUUCUAUGAACAUUUUAUGAAGCUUUCCUUAAAUUUCUAAUUGAAAAUUGCUACUGUGUGUGUUACUGUUGAUUCAUUUCAUUUAAGUCUUGGUCCUGGAGAUUCUAUUGAUACCCCAUUCUUGGGGAUGAAAAAUGUUAAAUGCGCACAUUUUUUAGGAAAAUGGGCUGGGUGGGAGAUGGAAGGCUUUGGCUGCCAUCCUAGGGUAUUCCUGUGCGUUGCGAUGGUCAGCAUUUCUGUAUCUAAACAUUGAGAAAGUACAAUAAAAAUACUGGGACCACUAGCAUACACGCAGUCUUUCUUGACCAAAACAUCCUUAUGCCGCGCGUGGCUGUGCUGAGAAGGAGGAGCACUCGUCCUCUCCAAGCACAUCCAAUUUGCCUCAGUCCUCAUGACUCUUACCCUGUUCCCACAACUGAGCUCAUUUGUUAUUGAAGUUGCUUUUCUUAUACCCAGCCCAGUUUUCCAUUGAUGCUCCCGCUUAUUCUAUGUAGGUAUUUUUAUUUAUCAUACGAUAUCCCUAGUCUAAGAUUUCAUUUGAGGAAAAAAAAAAAAACGUCUGCUGCUAAAAAUAAUUUGAAAACUCGUAGACAAGAGGACCUUUCAAAUCCCUUACAAUUCUAACAACCAGUGAAUUCAUGCUUCACAGCCAUUCAGAUCUAUAUGUAUGAAAUACAAGACAUAUGUGUUCAACUUUCCUGCAUCGCCUCCUUUAAACUUUCUUUUUUCUUUUUUGAGUCAAUCCCUGCAGGAACAGACAAAGUGAGCCCAUUAAGAGAACAGUUCACUCCCACCUGCCACCUCGAGCCAGCCAACAAUCUCAGCCUCACCACUCCAUUCUUGAUUAUGUAGAACCAUUCCAAUCCUGAGUGACAGGAUUUGCAAAGACAGCUGUUGGGCUCCACAAACAUUUGGAGGAGGGGAAAAUGUGAGGUUGGUUGCUACAUUCUCCUACUUCUUUUUACUGAAAGGAACAGCUGCGAUCUUCACAUGUAAGAUGAAGUAAACAAAAGCUGACAAUGCCCAGCACCAUUCAGCAGUAAGCAUUCAAAUAGAUUUUUCCUCACCGCGUUUGCAGGCCCGGCACAGUCUCAGUUCCCCACAGCACAGAGAGGAAGCAAGGUCUUUGCAUGCAUGCCCUGUUCACUUGGCCAAACAUUGCCCUAGAUGUGCAAUUCAAGCCGUAUAAAGCCAGCAUAAUUCAAGAGCCCUGACUCUUUCACUAUUUCAUGAUUGCUUAUUACUCGCACACGGCAUUGUCAGGUUCCAGCAACUCUGUGUGCAGCAGGCAGAAAUGCAGUGUUUAUCUCGGACAGGCAAACAUUCUUAGGCUCAUCGGCAUAAGUAUCCACGCUGAACUGGCUAUCGGGAAGUAGAUCCCUGCAUGGGAAAGUCAAGGGCCAUCUGCCCAUCUGAAACUGUCUUUGGCUGCACGGUUGUGAAUCCAGGUGACAGUGAAAAUGAAGAAGUGGUGAUUGUCCCUGCAUGUUUUCUCUGAAGGGUUAACAAAAAAAAUAAAAGCCUUUGUGUCUGUUUCGAGUUCUCCAGUUGAAAUACUGUACUCAUUGAACUGCAAGAAAUAAAACCUGCAAGUAGGCACUGUGCUAAUGUAAUAGAAAUGUGUUAGACAGGGGCACUAUUUCUUAAAUAUGCUUGAAUUAAGCAAGUUCUUUUAAAAAGUGGGUGGGACUUUUGAUGUUUUACAUAGUUAUAUUUUCAAUUUCUUGUGCUCAGUUUAAAACUCAAGAUUCUUUGUUUCCAUGUGUGUCAUUAGGGCAGGUGUUGGAUGACAAGUGAAUGCAUUGAAAAAUGAAAAAAAAGAAUUAUUUGUGCCCUGACCUCCAUGAAUUCGGUGACUUAAUAUAUCCAUACAGAUCUGACUUUUAAUCAUAGGUGCUCACAGGUGGGGUAAGGGAUAAAGAAGGAAUUUGUCUACAGGAUCCUUUUAUCCUAAGAUGUCUUACAACAUCCAAUUGUGUUACCGUUUCUUUUUGUUUGUUUUUUUUUUUACAAACCCAUUGCUAGGCUAAGAAGUAUUGAUUCUAUCUAGUUAAACAUGUCGAGUGAGGGGAAGUGAUCAAUGGAUUACUUCUUCAAAACAUUUAUCCCCCCCCAGUGGAAUCCUCUGAUUUUUAUAACCUUAAAGAGCCAGGUACAGGAGUUGGGAGAAGAAUUUAAAAUUUGAAAUGUCUUCUUUUUUUCAACUCGGUUAAUGAAAACUCUAGUUAAUGCCUGUGAUUUUCUGGGUCUCCUUCUCUACUUCCCGCCAUUAUCACCACCUUUUGUUGCUGCUGGGGCUGUGGGUACCCAGAAGGAACAUGAGAUGGCCUUCCUCAGAUAUCUGGGUUUAAAUUCAGUUCGUAUCUCUUACAUGAAGUGGGUAGGGCCAAAAAUGACUCACUGCCCAGUGGUGCCUGGAAACAUUAUCAGCAAAGGCAUUCACCUAAGGACAAAAUAAACACAGAAUUCUCAUAUGGGCCCAUCUUUCCAACCAUCUCCUGGACUCUGGUAGUCUUUUCUGAGCCAGAUAUCUCUCUAAAGUCACUUGCUGUCAGACCUUUUUGUCUCAUAUUUAGGAAUGGCUGAAGUUCUUUAUAAAUCCCAGAUGAAACAGGAGGAAAACUACUUUGAAAUGAUCAUUUCCAUGAUCUCUAAAAUUCAACAAACAGUAUUUCUUAAGGUUAACAGAUGCGAGCCUAUGACAGGUUCAAUGUGGGACCAACUCAAGGGAAAUUGAUGACCGAAGUAUUAAAAAGCAUUCAUUACAACGCAGGUUCACCUGAAGAGGGGGUGUCCCCCAGUAGUGCUUCUGCAGCAGAAUUUCUUAGAAAUGGCAGAACAUCCACAAGUCAUGUACCCCAGGCCAUUGUGUCUGUCUUUCAAAUAGAGGAAUGGCUGGUGGCCAUUUGCUGAGGGCAUCUCCUGCACUGAGAACUGUGUGCAUAUAUGGAUGGUAUUGCUGAGACUCACAAGUAUGCAAGAUAGAAGCUAGGUGCAUUUUUUUCAGAUUAGGAAUCUGAGAAUGGAAGAUAGACUGAGAAGGGGAGCAAGGGGAGAUAGGGAGAGACUGGGCAACGGGUACGAAGUUACAGUUAAAUAGGAAUAAACCAUGGUGCUCUAUUGCACAGUAGGGUGCCUGUGGUUGACAACAUUGCAUUGUCUAUUUCAAAAUAGCUAGAAGAAAGGGUUUUGAAUGUUCUCACCACAAGGAUAUGAUAAAUGUAUCAGGUAAUGGAUAUGCUAAAUACUCUGGUUUGAUUAUUACAUACGGUAUGCCAGUUUCAAAGCAUCACGUUGUACCCCAUAAAUAUGUACAACUAUCAUGUGUCAAUUCAAAAUAAAAUAAAAUAAAUUUUAUUGAUAAAAGAAUAAAAAA